rnacentral:tRNA from 1 species
GGCUCGGUAGCUUAGUUGGUAAAGCGCUCAUCUGCAUACAAGAGUCCUGGGUUCAAAUCCCAGCCCAGCAC